rnacentral:rRNA from 1 species
AUUGAACGCUGGCGGCAUGCCUUACACAUGCAAGUCGAACGGCAGCACGGGGCAACCUGGUGGCGAGUGGCGAACGGGUGAGUAAUGCAUCGGAACGUACCUUUCAGUGGGGGAUAACGUAGCGAAAGUUACGCUAAUACCGCAUAUUCUGUGAGCAGGAAAGCAGGGGAUCGCAAGACCUUGCGCUGAUUGAGCGGCCGAUGUCAGAUUAGCUAGUUGGUGAGGUAAAGGCUGACCAAGGCGACGGUCUGUAGCGGGUCUGAGGGGAGGAUCCGCCACACUGGAACGGAGACACGGUCCAGACUCCUACGGGAGGAGGCAGUGGGGAAUUUUGGACAAUGGGGGCAACCCGAAGCCGGCCAUGCCGCGUGGGUGAAGAAGGCCUUCGGGUUGUAAAGCUCUUUCGGACGGGAAGAAAUCGCACGGGCUAAUACCCUGUGUGGAUGACGGUACCGGAAUAAGAAGCACCGGCUAACUACGUGCCAGCCGCCGCCGUAAAAC